rnacentral:misc_RNA from 1 species
CAGAACCUGAGAUAGUGUACAUGUUAGUAUGCAUACGUGUAUACAUACGAGUACGUGAGAUCACGUUAGAUGAUGGCCUUAAGUACAAGUCCAUGAUCUGUCUGCCUCUCUGUCUCUCUGUUUUCUCCAUAUUUUUUUAUUCUCUCUGCUUCUCCUUAUAUCUCCCUCGCUCUCCUUCCCCUCCAAAACCUCUCUCUCCUCCUCUUCUCUCCCACCUCCGAUUCAUGUCAAGUGUAUAAGAAGAAUGACGAUGAGCAGCAAUAUUGGGCCUUUUGGAGACACCACACAGACCAAAGUGUUCGUUGGAGGUUUGGCAUGGGAGACGCCUAAGGAGGCCAUGAAAGAACAUUUUGACAAGUAUGGUGAAAUCUUGGAGGCUGUUAUUAUCUCUGAUAAGGUCACCGGCAGAUCCAAGGGCUAUGGAUUUGUGACGUUUAAGGAUGCUGAAGCAGCAAAGAAGGCUUGCGAGGACGCUGCUCCCAUCAUCAAUGGCCGCCGAGCCAACUGUAAUCUGGCUUCGCUCGGCGCACGUCGCCAGAGGUCCGCUGCUCCGGCUACUCCUCAGCAAGGAUCCAAAGUUGGACCGAGGUCCACAUCAUCAGCACCAGCAAAUCAAGUGCAGUGGUAUUAUCCUGCCGGUUCACCUGCAUCCCCAUUUCAUCAUCAGCACCAUCAGGCCUUUCCCUUUUAUGGGUACGCCCCAACUUAUGUUGCUACUGAUAUCAGUUACAAUCAUAAGCUAAGCUACACAAGCGGGUCCUACAUGAACGGUCAUUUCUCUCAGGUGUACCCGGGGCAGCCUAUUAUGGGUGCCAAUGCAGUGAUGCCAAUGUACCCGCUUUACCACUUCCAUCAGUCGCAAACAAUGGGCCUUCCUGCCCGUAUCUUCCCAGUUCCCCCCAACAACAGUGUCACCACAGUCCCCAACAUCAUGUCCAAACCUCCAUCAAUAACUCCUAGGCCAGGUAAUAUAUUUAUAAUCUAUACAAUAUUGUACUGUAUAAAUGAUGAUGAUUGUACAAUAGCUUUUGUGUGGCGGCAACACAUGGGAACAUAUGCCCAACCCCAACAUAAACCUAGACAAUGUGAACAAGAAUCAUUGUGUCAAGCCCCUUUGUGAUUGAGCUGGGUCUAUUGCCAACUGGCACCUUAGAAACCAAUGUGAAUAAAAAGACCAAAAUGCCCUUAUUCACCCUGAACCAUGAUAUAAUCUCUCUAUUAAAUAUAUGAAUUUGAUAUUUGUAUCUUUAAGUUUAAGCCUACAGUGAAUGGUUUAAUGUUGGCUUUAUGUAUGGUUUGCUUCAUUCAUUGUCUCUGCCACCUUGUGUGUUUCUAUUCAGUGCCAGCUUGUGUUUUUCAGUGGACUCUAACAAUAACUUAGUUUAAUUAUCAUUACUAAAUAUUAUUGAUUAAGUGAGUUCUCAUAGUGAACUGAUAUUACAGAGACAGUUUGCAUGGCUGUUGAAUAGGUGCAGUUGGCCAAGGGGAAAGCUUUAAAAAGGUUGGGUAAGGGCAAUGGCAAUAGCAAUAACAAAAGAAGAGUAUGGCAGGCAAGGCAGCUGCUGCAGAACAACAUUAUUAUCUCUUCUGUUGUGGCUCUUCUUUCCUGUUUAUUAAUUUUUUUUUAUAUAAAUUAUUUAUUAUUAUGAUUCUUAGGUGUUUGAUAAGAUUCUUUCAUUCUCUUCUUAUCUCUCUUAUAAUCUCUACCUCUAACAUCUAAGCUUGAGCUGUGAUGAACUGAACUAUUAGAGAGAAAAAAAAAAAAAAGUAUAAGAAGUCUGCAAUCAUCCUCAUGAAAAAGAAGUCUGCAAUCAUGUAAUGCUGCAUAAAAGCCUGCAUCUUCUAAUAAUGUGUUGUCAACUUGUUAUAUAUCUAUGUAUGCAUGAACUUUUUUUAAAAGAAAAGACUGUAUACAUGAAGUUUAUUCAUUAUUAACUGUUUGUAAAAUAUUAAUA